GAAGGUGUGUGUUAAAACCGUAUAUACCACAGGUAGUUCCGGCCAGUUUAAUCACCGUUCUAAAUUAAUGCGCUGCGUAUAAACAAUUGUAACCAUAGCAACAUGCAGUUAUACUCACAGCUUCAUUAUUAGUAGAGAUGCGGCACAGACGCAGAGCGGGUGGAAUUCUAGAUCUAACGACCCAUACAUGGGCGCUUCCACAGAAUUGGUGCAAACUGCUGUCCCACAACCAAAAAACACAUUUAAAAAGCAUGAGUAAUGGAGAGGAUCACCAUGUAGACCGGAGCCGAGCGGAGACGGGCUGAAAUGGGAAACGCUGUGUGGAGCGACGCCGCUCUGCAGCCGCGCUGAUCCUCAGGAACUCAGCCCUCUGUCACGCACCCUGGACUGCAUUUUUUUUCCCCCCCACAUUUUUUAAACAUUUUAUUUCCUCCAUCUUUUCUCACAUAGUCUUAUUUUUUUUUUAGGUCGCAUUAUUAUUAUUUUUUGGUCCAAGUGUGUUCAGAUAAUCUUCAUCUCCAAGAGGCUCGUGCGCCACGGUGCCAGACUCUCGGGUUUCUGAAAACCGAUUCAACUCCACUUCAGAUCAAGCUAUGGAGCAAUACUCCACCAACAUGGGGGACAUGAGGAACAGCGAUUUUUACUCCAAGAACCAAAGAAAUGAUGCAGGCGGCUUCAGCUGCUCGCUUAUGGAGCUGCGCUCACUCAUGGAGCUCCGAAGCACCGAUGCAGUCGUCAAAAUUCAGGAGGAUUAUGGAGACAUCACGGGACUGUGCCAGAGGCUGAAAACCUCACAGACAGAGGGUUUGACAGGAGAUCCAACUGACCUAGAAAAGAGGAGAGAAGUCUUCGGUCGAAACAUUAUACCUCCAAAGAAGUCAAAAACUUUCUUACAGUUAGUGUGGGAAGCACUACAAGAUGUGACCCUCAUCAUCCUUGAAAUCGCAGCCUUGAUCAGCUUGGGGCUCUCGUUUUAUCAGCCACCUGGAGGGGAACACGCAUCAUGUGGUGCUGCAAAUGCUGGAGCAGAAGAUGAAGGAGAGUCUGAAGCCGGGUGGAUCGAAGGAGCUGCCAUUUUACUCUCGGUGGUGUGUGUGGUGCUCGUUACCGCCUUCAAUGACUGGAGUAAAGAGAAGCAGUUUCGUGGCUUGCAGAGCCGCAUCGAGCAAGAGCAGAAGUUUCAGGUGGUGCGAGGAAGUCAAGUCAUCCAACUUCCUGUGGCCGACCUUGUGGUGGGAGAUAUCGCACAAAUCAAAUAUGGUGACCUACUUCCAACGGAUGGAAUCUUGAUACAAGGCAACGAUCUGAAAAUUGACGAGAGCUCUCUUACGGGAGAAUCAGAUCACGUGCGGAAAGCUGCAGACAAAGAUCCCAUGCUCCUCUCUGGUACUCAUGUGAUGGAGGGCUCGGGCCGGAUGAUAGUCACAGCUGUUGGUGUGAACUCUCAGAGCGGAAUCAUCUUUACCCUGCUCGGAGCUGGUGGAGAAGAGGAAGAGAAGAAAGAGAAGAAAGGUCAGGCAAUGGAAGAUGGCCGACAGCUAGCAGACUGCUCCCAUCCCUCCUCCCACCCCAUCGCAACUAUAGCCACCGAUGGUGCUGCAGGUGCAAAUGCCCCUGGUAAUGCCACCCUAGUCAAUGGUAAAAUGCAGGAUGGAAAUAUGGAGAACAACCAGACCAAAGUGAAGAAGCAGGAUGGAGCAGCAGCGAUGGAGAUGCAGCCACUGAAAAGUGCCGAGGGCGGAGAAACCGAUGACAAGGAGAAAAAAAAAUCCAAUGUGUCAAAAAAAGAGAAGUCUGUGCUACAGGGCAAGCUGACAAAGCUGGCUGUGCAGAUCGGCAAAGCAGGUUUGGUGAUGUCUGCCAUCACGGUCAUCAUCCUGGUGCUCUACUUUGCCAUUGACAACUUUGUUCUCCAGAAGAGGCCCUGGCUCCCUGAGUGCACUCCGAUUUAUAUUCAGUAUUUUGUGAAAUUCUUCAUCAUUGGUGUCACAGUGCUGGUGGUGGCUGUUCCUGAAGGCCUGCCUCUGGCUGUUACUAUCUCCUUGGCCUAUUCUGUCAAGAAAAUGAUGAAGGAUAAUAACUUGGUACGCCAUCUGGAUGCCUGCGAGACCAUGGGCAAUGCCACUGCUAUCUGCUCGGAUAAAACAGGCACUUUGACUACUAACAGGAUGACAGCGGUGCAGCUGUACGUUGGCGAUGUUCAUUAUAAAACAAUCCCAGACCCGAGUUCAGUCCCGCCGAAAACUCUUGACUUUCUGGUCAAUGCCAUAUCCCUCAACAGUGCUUAUACUACGAAAAUUCUGCCCCCAGAUAAGGAGGGAGGUCUGCCCAAGCAGGUGGGCAACAAAACCGAGUGUGGCCUGUUAGGACUUGUGCUGGAUCUGAAGCGAGAUUACCAGACCAUUCGGAACCAGAUCCCUGAAGAGAAGCUGUAUAAAGUCUACACGUUCAACUCGGUCAGGAAGUCCAUGAGUACCGUCAUUAAACUUCCAGAUGGAAACUUCAGGAUGUACAGCAAAGGAGCGUCUGAGAUUAUCCUGAAAAAGUGCGGUCGUAUUCUAAACGAAGCGGGUGAGCCCCGGCUUUUCCGACCUCGAGACAGAGAUGAAAUGGUGAAGAAAGUGAUUGAACCCAUGGCUUCCAAUGGUCUCAGGACCAUCUGUGUGGGUUACCGAGACUUUCCUGGCGAUCCUGAGCCAAGCUGGGAUGACGAAAACAUCAUCCUAACUGACCUGACCGCAAUCUGUGUGGUUGGAAUUGAGGAUCCUGUCCGACCAGAGGUGCCAGAUGCUAUUCGUAAAUGUCAGCGUGCUGGCAUCACAGUGCGAAUGGUGACUGGUGACAACAUCAACACUGCCAGAGCCAUUGCCAUCAAGUGUGGCAUCAUCCACCCUGGAGAGGACUUCCUGUGCAUCGACGGCAAAGAAUUUAACAGGAGGAUUCGUAAUGAAAAGGGAGAGGUUGAACAGGAGCGCAUUGAUAAGGUUUGGCCCAAGCUGCGAGUGUUAGCCCGGUCCUCUCCAACAGACAAACAUACACUUGUUAAAGGUAUAAUAGACAGCACACUGCUGGAGCAGAGGCAGGUCGUGGCUGUAACAGGCGAUGGUACCAAUGAUGGACCUGCUCUGAAAAAAGCGGAUGUCGGCUUUGCCAUGGGAAUUGCAGGCACAGAUGUGGCCAAGGAGGCCUCGGAUAUCAUCCUGACGGACGACAACUUCAGCAGUAUUGUGAAAGCAGUGAUGUGGGGACGCAACGUCUAUGAUAGCAUCUCCAAGUUCCUGCAGUUCCAGCUUACUGUUAACGUGGUGGCCGUGAUUGUGGCAUUUACUGGAGCUUGUAUUACACAGGAUUCUCCACUGAAAGCUGUUCAGAUGUUGUGGGUGAACCUCAUCAUGGACACUUUUGCAUCCCUGGCUCUGGCCACAGAACCUCCGACUGAAGCGCUGCUCAUGAGAAAACCAUAUGGCCGCAACAAGCCCCUCAUCUCCAGCACCAUGACCAAGAACAUCCUGGGCCAUGGCGUUUACCAGCUUAUUAUCAUUUUUGGUCUGCUGUUUGUUGGCGAGAAGAUCUUUGACAUCGACAGUGGCAGGAACGCACCUCUGCACUCGCCUCCAUCUGAACAUUACACCAUCAUCUUCAACACCUUUGUUAUGAUGCAGCUCUUCAACGAGAUCAACGCCCGCAAGAUUCACGGCGAGAGGAAUGUGUUUGAUGGCAUUUUAAAAAACCCUAUCUUCUGCUCUAUUGUUCUGGGCACUUUUGCAAUUCAGAUUAUUAUUGUGCAGUUCGGAGGGAAACCCUUCAGUUGCUCUCCUCUUGACGUGGAAAAGUGGAUGUGGUGUGUGUUCUUCGGGCUUGGAGAGCUGGUCUGGGGACAGGUUAUAUCGACCAUCCCGAACAGUAAGCUGAGGUUCCUGAAAGGAGCUGGUCAGCUCACUCAGAAGGAUGACACACCAGAGGAGGAAAUGAAUGAGGAUCAGGAGGAAAUUGAUCAUGCUGAAAGGGAGUUACGACGAGGACAAAUCCUCUGGUUCCGCGGCCUGAGCAGAAUCCAGACUCAGAUCGAGGUUGUGAACACAUUCAAGAGUGGGACUUCCUUUCAGGGGCCACUGAGGCGCCAGUCCUCCACCACCAGCCAGAAUCAGGAUAGUGCUAAUCGCCUUGGAGUGAGGGUGCAGCCUACGGCGUGAAUUUCAGGUUCUUUGAAGACGUGAAGAAUGUGUUGGGUAUUCAUCAUAGUCUUGUCUUGUCUAGUCUGUGUGUAAAUCUGAGCCUGACGAGGCCCAUUCUGUCUCGUGGCUUCACGCUGUCAAGUCUUGCUGAACUUUAGGCCGGUUUUCCCAUCGCUGUGAUUCGUUUUCUCAUUUUUUUUUUUUUUCUGUGUGUUGGCUUUAUUGCCCCUUGCUAGUUUUUUUCCCCCCCUUAUUAUCUGAAAAAACGUAAGGAGAAUCAAAUGAGGGUCAAAUUGGAUAGUUUGCUAGCAGCAAUAUUUUUUCUUUAGCACCGAGUGAAAGGUUAAUGGAAGAACAUGCACUACAUUUUAUUAUAAUUUAGUAAGGUUAAGUCCAGUCCAGUGCUUCUUUUGGAGAUUCAGUUCCUUAUGUUUGAGCCCAUCAGGGCAGUUUACUUCCAGAGCGAUUGGAGUUUCUGCGUUUCCUAGCCAAGUACUACUAGCAAAGUCAUGUCUCUGUGAUCUUAGGCUUUAAAUUAGGGCAUUAGGGCAUUUGGCAAACACACUUUUCCAGAGUGAUUUUGCUCAACUGCUUUGAAGGGAUUUUUUUUUUUAACUUGACCUUACUGCAUUGGAACUCGGAGUAGAGGAACAGGCAGAAGGCAUGGGCCAAAUGCAAGAGCUGUUAGUAGCAAUGCAACAGCACAGUGAAAAGCACAGCUUGUUGAAGGUGACUCACAUGUAGAGACAGACUCUGAUAUACUUUCAGUUCCUACAGCUCAUUCUCUAAGCUUGCCUUGAAGGAGUGUCCUGUCCUUCUGAGAGGCCACCAAAACAGCAUUUUGACGGAUAGGGCCCAGAACACGGCACGUCAACGGUUAAUGUCCUGAAAGCCAGCAUGAAGGCCUUUGGCAAAAGUAGUUCUUGAUCCUCCUUUCAACAGAAUGCAACUGAUCAAAUGCAUGACUCAUAAUAUGAUGUAUAUAAGCCCAAGGCAAGAACCUAGACCAUUCUACAGUGUAGCAGUUUCAUAAAGGAGCUCCCAUGUGCAUUCAGGAGUGCAGAGAUCUCUACAAACUGGUUUAAGAGCAUAAAUAAUGGCUGCUGUGGAAACCAUAGGGCUAAAAUCAAUGCCACCAGUAGAAGGACCAGGUAGCCUCGCUAGUGGUGCAAGCAGAUGAAGCAUUGCAGGCGAAUACAAAUGACUUUGCUAAUAAUACACAACUAGGAAAUAAACGCAUUGUAGAAGAACUCUCAUGGUCCUCUACUUAGUUGUAGAACAACAGUGAAAUACACAGACUAUAGUUUUCCUUUUGGGAUGGUAUUAUUUAAAAAUCAGUGUGAUUUCUGUAAUAGAAGAAUAGACAGCAUGUCCUCUGUGGUAAUUCUUUCACAUCUAGAAAGCUAUGAAUAAGCAUGAAAUUAACAACUUAACCCAGAUAUCUACACCACACAUGGUCACAUGAUUUAGUUUUUAUAACCAUGUCUUUAUAGCGUACUUAAGUAUGGUAUAGAAAAGUGAGGAUUUACAGCAGACAUCACACAGACAGUCCCACUUUAGGACGGUAUGGAAGCACAGCAAUAUGACCUGGACAAACUAAGGGCCGUGUUCAGACUUGUGUUGCACAGUUAUGCAAGAGCCAGAAACAGAGGCAUGUCCUUAUAGUGUACAGCAUCACCUCAUAGUAUAUAGGAAUAUCACCUCAAGUGUGGAGCCAUAUUAAGUACCGGACCACUGUAAUAUGUGUUUCGGACUGUAAAUACACUCAAACAAGGCUUUAAUUCAUGUCUAAAUAACAUGCAAGAGUUUUAUCAAAGAGAAGUCAUGCAAAGAUUGUAUUACAGACAAGACGUGGAUAGAUGAAUAAUAUAUGUAAUAUGUAAAUAUGUAACUAUAUUCUCUAGUGUUUAUUGAUUUUGUUUAUCAAAAGAUUUGUAAAACAUUAUAUUGGGGAUUUGUACACAUAUUUGAAUACACAGUCAACCAUAUGAGGCACAAGUAUUGGAAUACUGAAACCACUAUUCCAGUAUUUGUUAUGCUGUACCUCCACAUUAAUUCAGCACAAAUAAUAUGACAAUGAAAAGGCAUUUAUUUCAAAGAGCAGCACUACGGUGGUAUUCAAGUUAGACAUGUACACCGAUCAGCCAUAACAUUAAAACCACAGACAGAUGACGUGAAUAACAUUGAUUAUCUCAUUACAGUGGCACCUGUCAAAGGGGUGGGAUAUAUUAGGCAGCAAGUGAACAGUCAGUUCUCAAUGUUCAUGUGUUGGAAGAGGGACAAGCAUGAGGAUCUGAGGGCCAAAUUCUUAUAGCUAGAUGACUGGGUCGAUGUAUCUUCAAAACGGCAGGUCUUCUGGGGUGUUCCUGGUACAGCAGUGGUUAGUACCUACCAAAAGUGUUCCAAGGAAGGACAACCGGUGAACUUUGUGGCAGGGUCAUGGGAUGUGCUGGACAAACGAUUCCAAACUAUAGAGGCCCCACCUCGCAACUUACAGAACGUCUCAGUGCCAGAUACCACAGCACACCUUCAGAGGUCUUGUGGAGCCCAUGUGGCGACGUGUCAAAGCUGUUUUAGUGGCACAAGGGGGACCUACACAAUAUUAUGCAAGUGGUUUUAAUGAUAUGGCUGAUCGGUGUAUAUCUGAACUAAAAAGGUGUGUUGAAAGUGGGCAGUUGUGAGCCGGAGCAGGCAGUCAGGCAGGACGUUUGAGGGAUAAAAGAGAGAUAAUACAUUACCAAUAAUGUUUAGAACAACUCCAACUAGAAUAGACACAAAUCAGGUACACUCUCUCUGCCCUGUCAAUCACAGUGACACUAGCCAAUCAUGGGUGUCUGUGAGCUCAGUCCCAGGUUGGUAGGAAGGGAGGGGGGAAAAAAAAAAGAUUAACAUUCAUUGACAUUAGUAGAAACAUGCCUUUCCACUGUGACCACAUAAAGUUCGUUAAUCAGAACUGCUCAAGUAUUGAGCUGAAAUUCAAUAAAGACUUUUGCUGCACAUUUAAUAUUUUAGUUAUUAUGUCAGUACAUUACGAGGAAAGCAUAAUUGCAGUGGAAAAAUGAUACUUGAUUAAUAUCAGGCCUUUCCCCCCGUCUGUUCAUUAAAUUUAGCGAAUAUUCAAAUUAGACAGAUAGUACAUCCCUAAUCUAUACUAUCAAGAUCUUAUUAUGUUAGGUCAUUGAGUAUACUGUGAUAUUGUACAUUUCUGCAUAGCUGCAGUCUUGUCCAGAAAUAAGACAGUUUGUCUUAGCAAACAUGACCAAGAAUUUUGUGGCCUAUACUUGAGUGUUUACACAAAAACGCAUGGCGUUGUCAAGAGAACAGACUGCAGUCUGUUCCUGUCUUUUCUUACUCCGUGUACAUUGUGCGUGUGUGUGUGUGUGUGUGUGUGUGUGUGUGCCUGUGUUUGUUCGAAAUGUCUUCACAUAGUGUUGUCCUGAGCUGCAUGUUUUCAUUGUGUUGUUGUACUGCUUGAUGUAUUGCCAUCGUGUUGUGACUCUAUGCUUCAUGAAGCAUAGAACUCACUGGCUCAUUUUCUCAUCUCACCCGUCUCUCCGUAUCGUAUCCUGAGCUUGUGUUGACUCGUUUGAUGUGUUUCUUCUAAACUCAUCCUGGUUCUUUUUACCCUUUCAUUUGAGCUAACGUUUGAAUAGAUUUUUCAAACGUGGUGCAGCGAUGUCUCAGUGCACGGUAGAGUAGUGAAUUUGGGAAUGCCUUUCCGAGUUUUUGAAGCUGUGGAUUAUGGCGGUUCCUGUGAUCCGCGUGGUGAAUGCGUUCCGUAGCUCGCUCUACGAAGGCCUGGAAAAACCCGAAUCUCGAACCUCCAUCCACAACUUCAUGACCCAUCCUGAGUUUAGAAUAGAGGACUCGACACCCCACAUCCCCCUCAUAGA